UACGUAGGAGACGAGCGUUGUCCGGAGUUACUGGGCGUAAAGGGUGCGCAGGUGGCGGCGCGCGUGGGGGGUGAAAUCGCCCGGCUUAACUGGGCGGGGGCCUUCCAGACGGCGUGGCUUGAGCAGCGGAGGGGGACGUGGAAUUCCGGGUGGAGCGGUGAAAUGCGUAGAGAUGUGGAGGAACACCGAUGGCGAAGGCAGCCCCCUGGGCUAACACUGACGCUCAGGCACGAAAGCGUGGGGAGCAAACAGG
rnacentral:rRNA from 1 species